AAAUCAAGUGAUGAGGAAAAAAAACUGCAACAAUAUGAUUGGGCAAGUCCCAUGAUUCCUUGUAUUUAAGUCUCUGAUGAUU